rnacentral:tRNA from 1 species
UCCCUGAUGGUCCAGUGGUUAAGCCUUUGCACUUUUACUGCCAAGGGCCUAGGUUUGAUGCCAGGUCGGGGAA